UACAGAGGGGGCAAGCGUUGUUCGGAAUUACUGGGCGUAAAGGGCGCGUAGGCGGCCUGUUAAGUCGAACGUGAAAUCCCCGGGCUCAACCCGGGAACUGCGUCCGAUACUGGCAGGCUUGAAUCCGGGAGAGGGAUGCGGAAUUCCAGGUGUAGCGGUGAAAUGCGUAGAUAUCUGGAGGAACACCGGUGGCGAAGGCGGCAUCCUGGACCGGCAUUGACGCUGAGGCGCGAAAGCGUGGGGAGCAAACGGG
rnacentral:rRNA from 1 species